rnacentral:rRNA from 1 species
GAUGAACGCUGGCGGCGUGCCUAAUACAUGCAAGUCGAGCGAACAGAUAAGGAGCUUGCUCCUUUGACGUUAGCGGCGGACGGGUGAGUAACACGUGGGUAACCUACCUAUAAGACUGGGAUAACUUCGGGAAACCGGAGCUAAUACCGGAUAAUAUUUCGAACCGCAUGGUUCGAUAGUGAAAGAUGGUUUUGCUAUCACUUAUAGAUGGACCCGCGCCGUAUUAGCUAGUUGGUAAGGUAACGGCUUACCAAAGCGACGAUACGUAGCCGACCUGAGAGGGUGAUCGGCCACACUGGAACUGGGACACGGUCCAGACUCCUACGGGAGGCAGCAGUAGGGAAUCUUCCGCAAUGGGCGAAAGCCUGACGGAGCAACGCCGCGUGAGUGAUGAAGGUCUUCGGAUCGUAAAACUCUGUUAUUAGGGAAGAACAUACGUGUAAGUAACUGUGCACGUCUUGACGGUACCUAAUCAGAAAGCCACGGCUAACUACGUG